CCAGCAGCCGCGGUAAUACGGAGGGUGCAAGCGUUGCUCGGAAUUAUUGGGCGUAAAGGGUAGGUAGGUGGUUUUAUUUGUCUGGGGUGAAAUCCUUGAGCUUAACUCAAGAACUGCCCCGGAAACGGUGAAACUGGAGUCCUGGAGUGGGUCGUGGAAUUCCCGGUGUAGCGGUGAAAUGCGUAGAGAUCGGGAGGAACACCAGCGGCGAAGGCGGCGACCUGGACAGGCACUGACACUCAACUACGAAAGCGUGGGGAGCAAACAGGAUUAGAUACCCUGGUAGUCCACGCUGUAAACGAUGGGUACUAGACUUGGUGGGACUUGACCCCUGCCGAGUCGGAGCUAACGCGAUAAGUACCCCGCCUGGGAAGUACGGUCGCAAGACUAAAACUUAAAGGAAUUGGCGGGGG
rnacentral:rRNA from 1 species